GGCACUUGUGUUAUGGGCAUCAACGUAGAAACAAACAAGUGCAAUAACCAUGAGGUGUGAUGUUGAACUGGUUUAGCUUGUGCUCGUUUCUUGAGCCGAGAAAUAUGAGAAUAAAAUUUUUUGGGCAGUUACAAACUUAAGAAUUUACAAGACUUCAGAACACCUAGUUAUCAGAUACUAAGAAGAAAUGCAGCUUAUGAGGUUAGAAUUUAUGACUCCUUCAUAAAUGUAGAAACACAAGGUGGCAGUCCUGCAAGAUCAAAAGGGUAACAUGACAGUCUUGCUAGAUCAGGAGGUGGUGUCACCAGGUGAAAUAAUCGAUGGAGUGCUAUAAGAUCUUAUUUUAUUGCGUCCUUCUUCUUGAUAUCCACAAGAACAACAAUUUCUUUUACGCAUAUGGUACAACUACAAUUUACUAAUAUCUUUCAAUUCGCCAUCAGAACCUGGUAUUAGAAAAGCAUUGGAGCACGUAUGAGUUUUCACUUCUCUUCACUGUAUGCUGAUGGUUACCUUCCCUAUCCAGACUCACAUUAGCUAGUUUUUUUAGAACUUUAUUAUUCGUGUUGUAAAAGAGUUAUGUAUUGUGGAUCUGUAUG